ensembl:lncRNA
CCCCGGGUGGCUCCGGCCCCGCGGGUGGCUCCGGCCCGGCAGCGGAGCCCUGGGAAGGCGGCGGAUCUCCGGGGCACGGCGUGGAUGCGUUCCGCUCUCUUCCCCACCAAAAAGCUGCGGGAACGGGAAGCGGAGGGUUUGUCGGUCUCGGCUGUCCGUCCUCUCGGCUGUCCCAGCACCAAUUGUAAGCUGGGAGACCCAGCCGGGGGAGUUCCCGUGGGCUGAGGGCUCCCCCUCUCUGCUCUCCGGCAACGCUCCGGGGGGUGGGGAGAGGUGCUGCCGGAGGGAAGGGGUGCCGGGGGUACUUUCGGCUCAGUGCUCGAGGCGUUUCCCCCUUAAAGAAUCCACCUCGGCGGCCGAGAGAAGCUGCUCCCGGCUCCCCCGUUCCUUUCCAUCUCUUUCUGUUUUUUCCCCCUUCUUUCCCCUUCCUGCCAACCGAGAACCUUCGGGGCGGGCUGCGGAGGGAGUGCGGCUGCUUGGGAAUUCACCUUGCUGAGAGCGAAGGGAAACUCCCCGUCUGCCUCCUUCCAGCGGGGCUGACAACCCGGCAGGGCCCCGCUAACCCCCGCGCGAGGAGGCACCGGCUGGCAGAACGCGGCCGUGCAGCAGCCGCCGCCAGCCCUCCCCGUCCAAGAAUGCGGGGCCCGGCUCCUGCGGGGCGGGGGUCAGCCCGAGGAGGCAGCGCGGAGACCGAGCCCUUAGCUACGAGCACGGGGGAGGCUGCGGGGGGGGCUCUUGGCCUCCCAGCGCGGAGCGCGGCCUCCCCCCCACCGGGCUGGGGUCGGUUGCUUUUCAUUUGGGUCCGGGACCGGCGUCUCCCGGCCGCGGGGCGUGUGCGGAAGGAGGUGGGCUUCGCGCAGGUUGUGAGGGGCUGGUGGUGUGCCACCGCUGAUUACACGCUCUCCACUAAAGAUGGUAUCCGACAUGAGAUAAUGAGGCUCCGUGACCGGCCCCAGGUUCCCUUUAAGUUUUCCCAUGGACUCGAGCUGUCGCCAGUUCACAAAACGGCAGUGAUUUCUCCAAGUCGCCUCCCAGCCUCCCUUUGGUGUUCGUGAAAAGCCUCGCUCCGUCUCUCUCUCUUUUUUUUUUCCUUGGGGACUCCAAAGGGAAUCAAGCGAAAUGAAGUGAUCUGCGAGACAGGCGGGGAGCGCGCGUUGUGGAGGGGAUUUAGAGCAAAUCUGUAUUCGCUGUGAAACGUCCCGUGCUGGAAAACAAACAGCACCGGGGUGGAGGGGUAGGAGGGCGGGUGGUUGCAGAAGGAGCUCAGCCUUCGGGGGCGACUCCUGCGGCCGCCGGGCGGGGGGCGAUGGCUGCCGUUCGGGGAUGGCUCCGCGCUCCGCUCCGACGCUGGGGCCGGGCAGCUCGUUUCUAAUCUUGGGAGGGAGCGAAUAUAAAAGAGGAAUUUAUUAGCUUUCAGGCCAUCCGAGGAAUAAACAUUGAUUUUAUUGACCUAAUUAUGGGCCAAAUGACUCCUUCCAUCGAUCACGUAAAAUACUUCAUUUGGAGAAAAACAGGCGCGGGCGCCCGGAGGCGGGGAGAGCGGGUGGAUGUGCUGCGAAAGGGAAAGAAAAGCAAAAGCUAGAAAAUGUAUGGAGAGGUUUUAAUGCAGUUAACGUGCCCGUCGCGCUGCAGCGAGAGCCCUGUCUCCCAGACGUUGCAGUGCGGAUGUUUUGCAAACUUAAAGCUUUUAUGUCGAAUUCCAAUCCGGCCGGUCAAUUUGGCUAAAAUAGCAUUAAACAAAUGGACAGCGGUUUAUUUAUAUUCCGCCCACCGUAUUUUAUAG